GAAAGGGGGAAAGGCUAACACAUGCAAGUCGAGCGGAUGACGGGAGCUUGCUCCUUCGAUUCGACGACGGACGGAUGAGUGAUUCCUAUGAAUCUGACUGGUAGUGGGGGACGGCUUUUCGAAAGGAACGCUAAUUCCUCCUACGUCCUACCGCAGAAAGCAAGGGACGGACCUUCCUUGCUCUAUCAAAUGAACCUGCGUCGGAUUAACUAGUUGGUGAGGUAAGGGCUCACCCACGCGACCAUCCAUAACUGGUCUGAGAGGAUGAUCAAUCACCCUGGAACUGACACACAGUCCAGACUCCUACCGGAGGCAGGCGUGGGGAAUGUAUAUUGAUGGGCGAAAGCCUGAUCCAUCCAUGCCGCGUGUGUGUAUAAGGUCUUCGGAUUGGUAAUCACUUUAAUUUGGGAGGAAGGGCAGUAAGUUAAUUCCUUGCUGUUUUGACUUUACCGACAGAAUAAACACCGGCUAACUCUGCCGUGCCGCCGCGGUAAUACAGAGGGUGGAGCAUUAAUCGGAAUUACUGGGCGUAAAGCGCGCGUCGUGGUUCGUUAAUUUGGAUGUGAAAACCCCGCGCUCAACAACGGAACUGCUGCAUAAACUGGUGAGCUACAAGAGUGUAGUAGAUGGGGGAAUAACCUCUGGUGUGGCGAAAUGCUUAGGUAUAGAUAUGGAAGAAAACUGGGGAAGGAGGCCCCCCCCCUCUGAAAAGAACCCUCCGGUGGGGGAACCAGGGGGAGCAAACAACAUUA
rnacentral:rRNA from 1 species